rnacentral:rRNA from 1 species
GUAGGUGGCAAGCGUUAUCCGGAAUUAUUGGGCGUAAAGCGCGCGCAGGCGGUUCUUUAAGUCUGAUGUGAAAGCCCACGGCUCAACCGUGGAGGGUCAUUGGAAACUGGAGAACUUGAGUACAGAAGAGGAAAGCGGAAUUCCACGUGUAGCGGUGAAAUGCGUAGAGAUGUGGAGGAACACCAGUGGCGAAGGCGGCUUUCUGGUCUGUAACUGACGCUGAGGCGCGAAAGCGUGGGGGGCAAACAGGGAUUAGAUACCCUGGUAGUCCACGCCGUAAACGAUGAGUGCUAAGUGUUAGGGGGUUUCCCGCCCCUUAGUGCUGCAGCUAACGCAUUAAGCACUCCGCCUGGGGAGUACGGCCGCAAGGCUG